rnacentral:rRNA from 1 species
AUACGGAGGUGGUUAGCGUUGUUCGGAAUUACUGGGCGUAAAGCGCGCGUAGGCGGUUUGCUCAGUCGGAUGUGAAAGCCCAGGGCUCAACCUUGGAACUGCAUACGAUACUGGCAAACUAGAGUGUGAGAGAGGAUAGUGGAAUUUCCGGUGGUGCGGUGAAAUGCGUAGAUAUCGGAAGGAACAUCAGUGGCGAAGGCGACUGUCUGGCUCAACACUGACGCUGAGGUGCGAAAGCGUGGGUAGCAAACAGGAUUAGAAAACCUAGUAGUCC